AUUGAACGCUGGCGGCAGGCAUAACACAUGCAAGUCGAACGAGUGGCGGACGGGUGAGUAAUGUCUGGGAAACUGCCCGAUGGAGGGGGAUAACUUCUGGAAACCGUAGCUAAUACCGCAUACCAUCGGAGUGGCCCAGAUGGGAUUAGCUAGUAGGUGGGGUAACGGCUCACCUAGUCAACGAUCCUUAGCGGGUCUGAGAGGCUGACCGGACACAAUGGAACUGAGACACGGUCAAGACGCCUACGGGAGGCGGCAGUGGGGAAUAUUGCACAAUGGGCGCACGCCUGAGACAGCCAUGCCGCGUGUAUGAAGAAGGCCUUCGGGUUGUAAAGUACUUUCAGCGAGGAGGCGUUACUCGCAGAAGAAGCACCGGCUAACUCCGUGCCAGCAGCCGCGGUAAUUC
rnacentral:rRNA from 1 species